rfam:Clostridium sp. JC272 contig40, whole genome shotgun sequence.
AGAUAAACUGAUUACAAUAUCUGUAUAAAUUUGACGAUAGGGGUCAAGAGUUUCUACCAAAUCACCGUAAAUGAUUUGACUACAGGAAGUUUAUUUAUUAUU